rnacentral:lncRNA from 10 species
UGCCUUGGUUUACAGUUCUAGAAGCUGCUUGAAAGCAAGAGCUAUUGCCAGGCCAGAGAUAAUGUCUGAAUCAGGCACAUAGAAGUGAAAUGAGGAAUUGUGAGAGACAAAUUGGAGGUGAAGAUUCAUGUAUUGCUUGGACACUUUAGAGUAUUCUUUUGUCAUCCAUAUGAGUAACAAGGACCUACAGGAAUCAGCUGCUGAUACGGCCUUGUGUGUUCUGCAUUCUCCUCAAAAGCCAGGUAGGGAAAUAUAUUCAAGACAAGCUGGUGGAAAGGUUCAUCUUUCCUCUGUGUAUCAGAAACGACAGAUUUGGUGACCUUCCACCAAUUUGGUGAGAGUGAAGGCAAAUUCAACGACAGACUUUACAUCAUUAAUGAAGUCAGCAUGAACUUGACAAGAACAACAAUUUUGGAAAACUGAGUUAUCUAUUCAGCAUCAUUUUUACAAAGGUACUUUGAAAAAUGUUUAAUUCAAUGAUAAAGAGCCUGCCCAAGAGUUUAAAAUACAAUAAAAACAAGAACGUACAUCAAUUGUUGAUCCCAUCUGAUGGCAGUCUGUCCUUGAGCAUAUAGCUAAAAGGAUUUUCUCUGUAUCAAGUGGCACAACUACGGUGGACAUUCUGGAAACCAGGUGUCUGUUUGUAUGAAAAUGGUUGGAAGAAACAGAUCAGCACCCACAUCAGCGUAAUGUCUUCAUGGUCUUAUGCUGCAAUAAAGGGAAUGAUGCAUGCUUCACUGCAGAAAAACUAUAACUGCUGAGAAGUUCUUAUAAACCAAUGAUCUCAAAAUUAUUUUGGUAAUUUUUUUCUUCCAAAUAAAAUUAGAUAAACUCUACAUCCCUUCACUGCGCUCAAUACCCACCUUCUGUAAAAAGCAUGAAGAAAACUUCAAUGGACCAACAAGGCUGUAACACUGGGGGAAAUGAUUGAUUUCACUUAAACACCACCACCAACAAAAAAUGUUUAAAAACAGUUUCACGGCGCAACUUUCUCCUUGCUUUUUUUUCUUAUAGUUGGAAUGUAUUUUAUCGUCUGUCAGUUUUGCCCCUAUGAUAUGUCCUCUUAAAUUGGAUCUGUAAGCCCUUCAUAAAGUUUAAUAAAUCUUCAGCAUUUCACCCUAAGGAAAUUAUAUUAAAAACCUUCAAAUGUGAAGUUGGGCCCACAGACACACAGUGCUGGGA